GUGCUAGCUUGUCUUUUUGUCUCUGACUUUGGCUUGUCCCUCCUGCACAAACUUCCUGUGUGUCAAUACUUCUGGGAGACUGGUUCUCCCCGGAAGGUAUUUGGGUAUGGAGAUCUGUGGUACAGGCUCAUCUCUGGGGUGCGGACAGAGACUAGAAGAAUCCUGUGCCCAGAUGAUCCUUGGUUCCUGUGUCCUGAUGGCUCUGGAAGGGUCCCUCUUGGGCCAGGAAUUUGAAGAGAAGUGGUGGCCUUACCUGUGCUCAUAGGUCUGUAGGCAUUCAUGGGAAACCAGAGUUUCAUGGGAGAGCUCCUGGCUUUAUUGUAUAUGAAGUUCUGUGGCACAGGAUCAGAUC
rnacentral:lncRNA from 1 species